AGUGAACGCUGGCGGUAGGCCUAACACAUGCAAGUCGAACGGCAGCACAGUAAGAGCUUGCUCUUACGGGUGGCGAGUGGCGGACGGGUGAGGAAUACAUCGGAAUCUACUUUUUCGUGGGGGAUAACGUAGGGAAACUUACGCUAAUACCGCAUACGACCUACGGGCGAAAGCAGGGGAUCUUCGGACCUUGCGCGAUUGAAUGAGCCGAUGUCGGAUUAGCUAGUUGGCGGGGUAAAGGCCCACCAAGGCGACGAUCCGUAGCUGGUCUGAGAGGAUGAUCAGCCACACUGGAACUGAGACACGGUCCAGACUCCUACGGGAGGCAGCAGUGGGGAAUAUUGGGCAAUGGGCGCAAGCCUGAUCCAGCCAUACCGCGUGGGUGAAGAAGGCCUUCGGGUUGUAAAGCCCUUUUGUUGGGAAAGAAAAGCAGCAUGUUAAUACCCCGCUGUUCUGACGGUACCCAAAGAAUAAGCACCGGCUAACUUCGUG
rnacentral:rRNA from 1 species